UCUGUGUUAUAACAGAUGAUGUGGAUUUAGAGCUGUGUUGGAAACACGACCUUUUAAUCCUCGUGAAUGGGGCGAACUGUUUGCCUGUAAGAACAACAUCAGGGCAUAAUUUACUUCAUUUUUCUUCAGUGAGGUGAUUGGUUAGCGCAGCGGUGGCGGGGCUUUGUGAAGUUUACUGUGCACUGUUAGCUGAAGUUUACUGAUGUUUACUGAGUUGUUGUUGAGUAUGAAGAGCUGUUUGACACACGAUCGGAUACUUAAAUGACAGCGAGAGCAGAAGAAUAGACGUAAAUAAGCGAAAAUGGUGUGAAAUUGUGAUCUUGUUUUGGGUCGAUCUAUGUUUUGUCGGCUUUGCUUCAGCUAAGCUAAAGUGAAGCGCGCUGCCUGUUUACAUAUUUACCAUCAGCUGUGAGCUAGCUAGUUAGCACCGCUCAGAGGCAACUGGAUAAUGAUGAGCUCUGCACGGGAGAUUAAACAGCUACAGAAAGCAAAGAGCAAAGCGCAGAACAGCAACAACUUGAGAGAGGAAGCCAAUAUCUGCAAUCAUCUUGGGGAGCUGCUGUCCAGAAAUGGUGAUUACGAGGCCGCCAUAAGGGAGCAUCAGCAGGAGCUGGCUCUAUCAGAGGUG